rnacentral:rRNA from 1 species
GACGAACGCUGGCGGCGUGCUUAACACAUGCAAGUCGAACGAAGUGGCGAACGGGUGAGUAAUACGUGGGUAACCUGCCCUCCUUUUUGGGAUAAGCCUUGGAAACGGGGUCUAAUACCGAAUAAAGGGGGAUGGGCUCGCGGCCUAUCAGCUUGUUGGUGGGGUGAUGGCCUACCAAGGCGGUGACGGGUAGCCGGCCUGAGAGGGUGACCGGCCACGUUGGGAGUGAGAUACGGCCCAGGCUCGUACGGGAAGCAGCAGUUGGGGAUAUGGCACAAUGGGCGAAAGUCUGAUGCGGCGGAGCCGCGUGGGGGAUGCGGGCUUACAGGUUGUAAGCCUGUGUCGCUAUCGAGCGGGUAGGUGGAGAAGAAGCGCCGGCUAACUACGUGCCAGCAGCCGCGGUAAUUC